UAUUUUUGUCCUCUUGUCCAGG
rnacentral:miRNA from 13 species